rnacentral:rRNA from 1 species
UACGUAGGGUGCGAGCGUUGUCCGGAAUUAUUGGGCGUAAAGAGCUCGUAGGCGGUCUGUCGCGUCGGUCGUGAAAACUUGGGGCUUAACCCUGAGCUUGCGGUCGAUACGGGCAUGACUGGAGUUCGGUAGGGGAGACUGGAAUUCCUGGUGUAGCGGUGAAAUGCGUAGAUACCAUAAAGAACACCGAUAGCGAAGGCAGCAUACUAGUCUUUAACUGACGCUGAGGCGCGAAAGCUAGGGUAGCAAACGGG